GGGACAAGAAGUGGUAGAGGUAGGUUUCUGGGCCUCCUGCUCAUUCACAGCUCAGGGUGGAAGGUGAACCUGCCUGGGGCCGCAGUGAGUAUCCAUCUCUACUUUCCAGCUUUAGACCCUAAUUCUGGAUGAUAGACCCAGGGUUUUAGUCCUGGAAGCACACAUCCUGCGGCAGGCACUGGAUCUGGUGAUUGACAUGGGUUGUCUUGUUGACCUUUGCACAGGGACCAUACGUGGGAAUGGGCCCUCUG
rnacentral:lncRNA from 1 species